rnacentral:lncRNA from 1 species
UCUUUACUGCAUAGUUUUGUGUGCCAAAUGUGAGAUUACUAUCACUGAGCUUGAAUCGAAAUAUUAAUUUUUUUCCACAUAAUUGUUGAAUAAUCUUUGGGGCUUCUUCUGUUUUCCCAUCUAGUGAGUCCAGCAAGUCAGAUGCAGAUGUAUUAAGCAAUCUUGCAGCCUCCUCGUCAAAUAAAGUGCAACUUGUAGUAGAUGUAUGAUCACUAAUUUGGAGUCGAAUACGAUACCUAACAUACCAUUCAUGUUAGUGGAGAGUAAAUAUAAUAUAACACUUACUGCUUAUAUUUAAGUAAUAUAAUAUGCUUACCGAGGUGUGACAUUUUUUGGAUAUAUACCACAACUCUUGCAAUAAUACUUGUCGGUUUCCUUGAUAACCAUUUUGGGACAGUUAUCACAUGACAUGUACCACCAUUGAAUAUUUUCUUGCAACCGAUCUACUGUAGCUAUUGUCGUGAACACAAAAUCCUGAAAACAAUCAACGUUAGCAUUGGGGUAGGGGUGGGGGAUUAAGUGACAUAUAUAAAUUCAAAAUGGUUCCAUUGUUACUAAUAUUGAACAAAUUGUCAAUGCAGGUCUUAACUCGUUCUCGCAAAAAUUGAUGAUAGCCUUUAUUGAAACUCCAAUGAAUUACCUGGUCUUGCCGGUUUUCGUGCCUCAUUUUAGUAAGUUCUUGCAAUGUUCUCCGCUUGUAAAACAUUUGUUCUUCUAGAGUUCCCUGAUUACUUCUAUCUAUACUCAUCAUUUUUGGUAAGGUUACUUGUGUUGAGUCCCUGCACAUAUAUAAAACAAAUAAUAAUAUGUACAAUCGCGAAUCAACAUGAGUCACUAUUCAUGAGUGGGAAUUUUUAAUUGGUAGUGUUUCAUACCUUUCAAGAAGUUCUUGUGCUUCUGGUAUAUCCAGAUCUAUAUAUAUUCUGGUGGCACUGGUUGACUUUAGGCACAAACCUAUUUAAUUAACCAAUUAGAAUUUGUAAAUGAUAAGAGUAGCAUCUAAGAUUUAUGGACUUACCAUUGAAUCUCUGCACCAUCGUUGAUGUAAUAAUAAUGACAGUUUGGCUGCCAAUUACAUCCUCGGUCAAAAAAUAAGCAAACUUUCCCCAUAACGUGAUUCUGAUUUUAUCACCCCUAAAGAAUUUAAUUCGAGAAGUUAUUGUUAAUCACAUGGGGUAGGCGUAGUUAAAUUUCAGACAUGCAUAUGCAUAUGCACUUACUCCGGCAUUAGUAUUUCAAUCUCGCGGAUAUAUGAAGGUUGUGGGCUCUUUUUUGUUAUUCUUGUCUCCACGGGCUUCAUUUUUGUUAGAAGUCCAAUGACAUCUGUUUAUUUGGAAAUUAUAGUAAUAUAACAAUUAGAAAUAUCAAUUAUUUGGAAGCCAUAAUUACAACUAUAAACAUACCUGAGCAUUGUGUAUCUUUUCCUGCCCUUUCUUCAAGUGUCUCCAUGGUAGCAAACUCGGAGCAAUAGUCCGGAAAAACUUCUUGAGAUCCUUUUAUCUCCUUUACCUUUGUAUUGUAUGAAAAAAAUAUUUUAAUUUCAUUGCUCACUGGCCUAUAUUUUGUGGAUUCCACAACCUUAAAAUUACUGAAUCCAUAAAUAGACUUCUCAUUGAUCUUUGAUUUAAAAGUGUCUAUUAGAUUCUUCCAUAUAGUAGCAUGAAUUGUUUCACCCUAUAAAAACAAACAAUUAUGGUUAGUAACUGUUGCUUAAUCUAAAAAAAAAUCCAAUUAACUAUAUUGAAAAACAGACCUGCUCAUCCAUGAGUAUCAUAUCUAGGCUAAUAAGCUCAUCGGUAGUAGGAUUAACUGAAUCCCAAAUCCUCAUUACUUUCACUUGAAUGUUCCAGUUCUGUCCCCUUGUAGUUAAGUCACUCAACUUUUUGUAUGCCAUAGUUUUAUGUCUUCAAAAUUAAUCGGAAACAAUUAGCCAAUGGAUAUAGUAUUUAUGAAGAUCCUAUCCAUAAAAAAGGUUGUUAAAUAACAAUUACCAAGUCUGAUGAUUCAACCCAGAAGUGCUUUGUCGUCACUUCUUCCGACGUCGAUAGGAGCAGAUGGGCGUGGCUUUGUCGGAUGUCGGCGGGCUUUGGUAUGACUUCGCUGGACGUCAAGCGAAGCAGUUGGAGAUGACUUCUCGUCGAAGCAGUUGGAGAUGACUUCUCGUCGUGCUACCUAUGUCGACUUCAAGCUGUGUGGACGGCGAGGCGUGUGUUUCGUCUGGUGUGUUUUAAGACGUGGUGGUCGUCGAUUUCUAAUUGUUUGGUGCGUGCUUCUAUGGCCGACUGCACUUGUUUAUAUGGGUUGAGGUGGCUGGGUUGAGGUGGCCGAGACCGUGUGGGAAUCUUGUAGGUAUUCGUUCCUCUCUUGGAACUUUUAUCACGUGAGGUCUGGUGGGUGUCCUUAUUUGUUUAGGUUUCUUAUUUAAUUAGGUUUGACUACUAUUUUUGCUUAUCCUUGACCCAUUGAUGGAAAUAUUCUAUUUUUGUUUUUGUGUCUUACCAUGAGGAUAAUUCAGGCUAGUUGAUGUCACAAUGGACACACUAUAUUUGUAUACGUGACGUGUUAUACUACUUGUGUGGGUCGGUCUGUGCUAUGCACUACACGUGAUGGAACAUGGAUGUGUUGGUCCGUUCUAUGCACGUACACGUGACAACACAACUUAUCUUGUUUACGCGUUUAUGUUAAAUCAAGGCCAUUAAUAUUACAAUCUAAUGGAUUAGAUAAUUUUAACUUAUGU